AUUGCUGUGCAGCGCCUAAUGGCAAAUGAUACGGCUUGAUUUUCGUCUGUGCCAACUGCCACAAAUUAGUACUCUACUGCAUAAAAAAAAAUCUGCGAAACAAACUUCGAAUUUAUCAUUCAUAAUUGAUUAUGGGCAAUUCAGCUUCAGCUCAGUAUAUUGAUCAAAACCCUAAUUCCCUAAUUAAUUCUCAGCCCAACCAUGAUUCCGUAAUCAACAAUUGGGAGUUGAUUGAAGUUCUUGAUGACUUUGAUUUUCAUAUUGUUCAACAUCCCAAGCAUCUUUCAUCAAAUCUUGGAAAACCCGAUUCGUAUAUUAAUGGGUUCAUCAAGAAAACUGAUGAUUCGCCUGAUUUUCUUGAUUCUUACGAGCUUGUGGAACAUGUUGACUCUAAUUUGGGCUCAAUUGCUAGGCCUGCUUUGACUUCUAAGCCUAGGCAAUCAAAUUGUUGUAAAGAUUCGAAUUUUAAGAAAGAUGUGAUUGUUUUGUACUAUACUAGUAUGAGGGGGAUCAGGAAGACUUAUGAGGAUUGUUGCCAAGUCAGAAUGAUUUUGAAGUCAUCCGGGGUGUUGGUAGAUGAAAGAGAUGUUUCGAUGGAUUCAAAGUAUAGGAAGGAGUUGCAGAAUGUGUUUGAAGGGAAAAGGUUUAGUUUGCCACAAGUGUUUAUUGGAGGGAGGUGUUUAGGUGGUGCUGAUGAGAUCAAGCAACUUCACGAAGACGGGGAAUUGGCAGUUCUGUUGGAAGGAUUUCCUAUUAAGGACCCCGGGUUGGUUUGUCGUAGCUGUGGAGAUGCAAGGUUUGUCCUGUGUCACAAUUGUAAUGGGAGUAGGAAGUAUUUUCAGGAAGGGGAAAUGAAAAUGUGCUUGAACUGCAAUGAGAAUGGAUUAAUUCAUUGUCCGGGUUGCUGCUCUUGACUGUUGCUGCCCAAAGAAUUGGUAUCUACUGUUUGGUAUUACUAUCAUAUUAUUUGAAGUUCAUUAAUAAUUUAUGAGUAGACAUUGCAGCUCAUUAAUAUCUCUAAAGUUCGUGUUAAAAUUGUCUGGUUUUGUACAUAUAUUGAUCAUUGUUCCUGUUGACGAUUGAACAACUUGCUAAUAUAUUUGAGAGGACAUAUUUGUCCUAUACAUGUGUGAUGUCUCAGCAUUUUCCUGUUUCUAUAUUUUAUUUAUUUAUCAUUUUUUUAUGUAAUGAUUUUGCUGGUUAUUGUUGACAACUAAAAAGCCAAUUUUAUAUUACAAAGUUAUAUUUGUUUGCUUAUCAGUAUUUUUAGUUAAUACCAGUGAAUGCAGUAGUCUUUCUGAGCUGCAGUAUGCUCUUAUCAAUAGAGUGAUAGUGCUUAAAUAGAUUAUACACAUCAUAGAAUUGUGAACUUUGCAUCAACUUAUCUACUGCUCUUACUAAUCUGUGAAGUUAAUCUAUUUAAUUUUCUAAAUAAAAAUUCUUGGAAAAAAGGUUGGGAAGGGGAACAGCUCAGAUGUUGUGUUUACGAGUUAACGCAUACACAUAUUAGCCUUCUGCAAAUUUAAUUGUUCAUGAAGCCUGAAGGUUUUAACAGACUAGAUGUUUGAACAGGAAAUACAUGAUCACUAUAAUAGUGCGAGGAGUGAUAUAUUUUAGAGGAAUAUGAAGCUGUUAUGGUGGUCCAGCAACAGUCACAAUACUGAACAAGUUUGAUAUCAACAAUUAUAACAUCAAUAAGAAAUCUUGAUUCUCAUAUUUAUACCAAUAUCCAGUAAUUUAUCGUCAAUAAAUAAAUUUGCCAAGGUGUGACUAUAUCACCAAAAGAGUUGGAGAAUCCUAUUUUCGGAAAUUAUUUACUUACUCUGCUUACAGAUCCUGGAGAGUUUAAACCAAAAAAUCUGUUACAUUACAAUUUCCGCUUCUCGUGAGCUUCAUAAGUAUUUUAAUUUUGUAAGACGAUCAAGAUGUAAUCGAAUAUAUAUAUAUAUAUAUAUAUAUAUAUAUAUAUAUAUUUGACUUUAUAAGUUGCUCAGAAGAUCAGUUGGUUGAAGAAUGUUCUUGGAGAGAAUAGUCGAUGAUGAGUUCAACGUCAUGAUUCAUGGGAGUUUUGGUGCCAUCUAUUCUGGGGAUAGAUGGUCUGGAAAAUAAGUGUCAUGGUUAGUAGCACCUCAUGAUAUUCAAGACUUUGCCGAUAUUGACGCCUUGCAUGUGAAUCCUCUCUCUUCAACCUUCUUCGGAUAAAUUUGGCUAUCUCAUCAUGGGCAAGGCCCCGGUUGUUGAUCCUGAAUGGCUACAAAAGUAUGUAAUGCAUAAAAUCUUCAUUGGGAUGCAAUAAGGGUCUUCUUGAAGUCUGAACUGUCGACAGGCAUUCAACUGUACAAAAAGAAGACGCUUUUCCUGGCUUGCAGACAUUGAUGAUGAACUUCAGGUUGUCUACUACAUUAAUCACAGGCUACACUCAAGACUCAUUUUUGAUAGUCUUGGUCGAUUUCUUUUGAUUGGAGGUAUUAGCUUUUAUUGUAAAUAAAAUCUAAAAGAUGCCUGAAAUAUUAAUUAAAGGAUGUGAAGCAAGGAGAUUCCAGUUUUCCAGAACCUGUGCGGAAACUGUGAUGAAUACUGGAGAACAGCCCGCUUGGUGGUUAUGGGAUUGGCACACGCCCUCUCAACUUUGACAGCACUUUCUUAUGCCAGCUACCCAGUUGGUUGGUAUGGAUACUGAUGGUGAUUCAGAUAAAAAUGUCUUGGCAAUUUCAAGCUCUCUAGAUGGUGACUGUGUGUAUUAGUUGUAAAAGUAAAGGUAAGGGGUUUAUUUUCUCUUUGGACAAAGUUGGCAUUUCUGCGGAAAUAAUUUCAUCUUCACGUUAUGUUGGUAGAAAAACCAGUGGAGGCCUGAGAUGUAGCUCCGGCUGGUCAUCCGAAAUUAAUUGAGAAAGAAUCCCGAAGUUCCAACCGGUCUUCUGAAAUAAGCAUAAAAGCAAAAAAGAAAUCAAGUCCUUAGAAGAUUUUAAAAGUUUAGUGAUAUUUUUUUAGCCCCCAGUCUUUCGGUAUCCUGGUUGCACCAUGUUUGUGUGCGUAUUUUGUUGCCCUGAGACCUGAUUUAUACACUGAUACACAUAUCUCCCUAUCAUUUGAAAAUGUUUGCCUUCAACAGGCUGUGUAUCAGCUCCUUUGGGCUUGUUCAAACAUCAAACAAUCAAAUCAACCUGUUGUGUUUGAUUGUUGUGUUUGGUUGGACCGAAUGAAUAUGAAAGGAAUUGAAUGAAAUUUGAACUGCGUUAUGGACAUAUCUUUUUAAA